rnacentral:rRNA from 1 species
UACGUAGGGGGCGAGCGUUGUCCGGAGUUACUGGGCGUAAAGCGCACGCAGGCGGUCUGCUAAGUUUGGAGUGACAGUUGGUGGCUUAACUGCCAAAGUGCUUCGAAAACUGACAGACUUGAGGGCUUCAGAGGGACGACGGAAUUCCGGGUGGAGUGGUGAAAUGCGUAGAGAUCCGGAGGAACACCAAAGGCGAAGGCAGUGUCCUGGGGAGUACCUGACGCUCAGGUGCGAAAGCCAGGGGAGCGAACGGG